GACGAACGCUGGCGGCGUGCUUAACACAUGCCAGUCGAACGGAAAGGCCCUGCUUUUGUGGGGUGCUCGAGUGGCGAACGGGUGAGUAACACGUGAGUAACCUGCCCUUGACUUUGGGAUAACUUCAGGAAACUGGGGCUAAUACCGGAUAGGAGCUCCUGCUGCAUGGUGGGGGUUGGAAAGUUUCGGCGGUUGGGGAUGGACUCGCGGCUUAUCAGCUUGUUGGUGGGGUAGUGGCUUACCAAGGCUUUGACGGGUAGCCGGCCUGAGAGGGUGACCGGCCACAUUGGGACUGAGAUACGGCCCAGACUCCUACGGGGGGCAGCAGUGGGGAAUAAUGCACAAUGGGCGGAAGCCUGAUGCAGCAACGCCGCGUGCGGGAUGACGGCCUUCGGGUUGUAAACCGCUUUCGCCUGUGACGAAGCGUGAGUGACGGUAAUGGGUAAAGAAGCACCGGCUAACUACGUG
rnacentral:rRNA from 1 species